GAAUUAAUUAUGUUAUAGAUUAUGCUUAUUAUAUUUUAUGCUUGUUUCUUCUUAAUGACUUAAAUAACUCAUAUGUAAGUCACAUUUUCCACAAUAAAGAAAAGCUUAUUGAUAACUAACAGGUAGUACUUAAAUGAGUGUGUAUUUAUAGAUGGUUCAUAAUCCAGUGUUUCUUUUUUUUUUCUAGGAGGAGAUUUGGAAGUCAGUAGAUGAGUUCCCAUGGAUAUGCUGAACAUUUCAGUUAUAAGGACACCCAGUGGACAUAGUAGCAGAGGCUCUUUUGUCUUUUAAAUAGACAUCUGGUACUUUCUGCCUAUUAAGCUACACCUUGUUUAUUAUGAUAUUCUUAUCUACUCUUGUAACUCAACAAUUUUUCUUUUGAUUUAAAAGUUACGGCAAAAAUACAUAAAUAAA